rnacentral:misc_RNA from 1 species
GAUGAAGAACGUAGCGAAAUGCGAUAAGUAAUGUGAAUUGCAGAAUUCAGUGAAUCAUCGAAUCUUCGAACGCACAUUGCGCCCGCUGGUAUUCCGGCGGGCAUGCCUGUUCGAGCGUCAUUUCAACCCUCAAGCUCUCCGGAGUUUGGUGUUGGGGCGCCUGGGGCUUUUCGACCUCAGGGCCCUCAAGUCCAUCGGCGGGACCGCCAGGACACUGAGCGCAGUAGUAUUAUUUCGCUCGGUAGGAUCUUCCACGGCGGGUCGAUCUGGCCGCUAAACCCCCCAAUUCUCACCAAAGGUUGACCUCGGAUCAGGUAGGAAUACCCGCUGAACUUAAGCAUAUCAAUAAGCGGAGGA